rnacentral:rRNA from 1 species
UACGUAGGUGGCAAGCGUUAUCCGGAUUUAUUGGGCGUAAAGGGAACGCAGGCGGUCUUUUAAGUCUGAUGUGAAAGCCUUCGGCUUAACCGGAGUAGUGCAUUGGAAACUGGGAGACUUGAGUGCAGAAGAGGAGAGUGGAACUCCAUGUGUAGCGGUGAAAUGCGUAGAUAUAUGGAAGAACACCAGUGGCGAAAGCGGCUCUCUGGUCUGUAAUUGACGCUGAGGUUCGAAAGCGUGGGUAGCAAACGGG